UUACAUGACAGCCGUAGGUCUUAAGCUCUCACUGAAUAACUUAACUACAAAAACACGAAAUCAAUCCUCUUCUCCUGGAGUCGACAGAAAGGAGAGCGAGUGGAACUAGAGAGGGGAGCCAAAAGCAGCCAGCUCCCUUCUUCCUUUCAUACACCACAAGGAACGUGUGCACCUCUAUGCACGUGAAGGCAUAACAACAGAAGAAUUUGUCUUGAGGCAGUACAUCAAAGAAAUUAACAGCAUGUUUUUCUUGCCUAUGCAACAGGCACUGAAUCUGGAUUGACCGAGCUGUAAUUCCCUCGAUCCUUCUUCUUAUGGAUAAGCACUCUUCUCCCUUCCUCAUCCUCUGGGACACCCAGGAGCUCUUGAACAUAAUCAUCGAUGUCAGUGAUUGCUGCCGCCGGUUCCCAUGUUCGCCUGGGUAAAUGUCACCAGCCUUCC